CGUUAGUCUUUCAUGUGAACACUUGUGAAUUCUUAACGAGUUUGUUUUAGUUUCAAAUUAAAAAUUAUCCGUCAAAAUGGAUGAUAUUUGCAAUGCAAGAUCCUACAUCAAUCUUGGAUUUGACAACGAUCUUGUGGACAAUUUAAAAUCAAGCAAACAAGGAGACUUGCUUAAA